AACGUAGGAGACAAACGUUAUCCGGAGUUACUGGGCGUAAAGGGCGCGUAGGUGGUUUCGUAAGUCUGGCGUGAAAUUUCUCGGCUUAACCGAGGCAGGUCGCCGGAUACUGCGGAACUUGAGGACGGUAGAGGCGUGUGGAAUUCCGGGUGUAGUGGUGAAAUGCGUAGAGAUCCGGAGGAACACCAGUGGCGAAGGCGACACGCUGGGCCGUACCUGACACUGAUGCGCGACAGCAUGGGGAGCAAACAGG
rnacentral:rRNA from 1 species